rnacentral:rRNA from 1 species
GAUGAACGCUGGCGGCGUGCUUAACACAUGCAAGUCGAACGGAAAGGCCCAAGCUUGCUUGGGUACUCGAGUGGCGAACGGGUGAGUAACACGUGGGUGAUCUGCCCUGCACUUCGGGAUAAGCCUGGGAAACUGGGUCUAAUACCGGAUAGGACCACAUUUUGGAUGGUGUGGUGGAAAGUUUUUCGGUGUGGGAUGAGCUCGCGGCCUAUCAGCUUGUUGGUGGGGUAAUGGCCUACCAAGGCGUCGACGGGUAGCCGGCCUGAGAGGGUGUACGGCCAAAUUGGGACUGAGAUACGGCCCAGACUCCUACGGGAGGCAGCAGUGGGGAAUAUUGCACAAUGGGCGCAAGCCUGAUGCAGCGACGCCGCGUGGGGGAUGACGGCCUUCGGGUUGGAAACUCCGUUCGCUAGGGACGAAGCGUUAUGUGACGGUACCUGGAGAAGAAGCACCGGCUAACUACGUG